rnacentral:rRNA from 1 species
GUCUACGGCCAUACCACCCUGAACGCGCCCGAUCUCGUCUGAUCUCGGAAGCUAAGCAGGGUCGGGCCUGGUUAGUACUUGGAUGGAAGAAUUCCCAUACACCCCUUGUCC